CAUUCUGUGAAGUUCCGAAAAAUAACAAGGAUCCCUCAGCUUGCCUCAUUGGUGGAAAUGCCUGGUUGGAACAUUCCUUUGGCCACUUUAGCUGAAAACUGCAUACCUAGGAGACUGAAGCAUCCCUGCUCCAGCCUCCUGUCUCAGAACUGACUGAAAACUGUCUCCAAAGAUAGGACGACUCUGUGAAAAAAAAAAAAAAAAAAAAAAAAAAGCCCCCAGAGAAAACAGCACGAAACCACACCUGAUCCCACACGGAGGCUUGCCAGAGCCCAAACAGGACCGCCUUUGGUCCUUGGAAAGGUUCGAGGUCCCAAAGCAACGUUAUUUAUGC
rnacentral:lncRNA from 1 species